rnacentral:rRNA from 1 species
GGAUUAGAUACCCUGGUAGUCCACGCCCUAAACGAUGAACACUAGUCGUUACGGAGCUAGUCUCUGUAGUGACGCAGCUAACGCAUUAAGUGUUCCGCCUGGGGAGUACGGUCGCAAGAUUAAAACUCAAAGGAAUAGACGGGGACCCGCACAAGCGGUGGAGCAUGUGGUUUAAUUCGAAGAUACGCGAAGAACCUUACCAAGGCUUGACAUGUUAGGAAUCUUGUAGAAAUAUGAGAGUGCUGGCUUGCCAGAACCUAAACACAGGUGCUGCAUGGCCGUCGUCAGCUCGUGCCG